UACGUAGGGUGCGAGCGUUGUCCGGAAUUACUGGGCGUAAAGAGCUCGUAGGCGGUCUGUCGCGUCUGCUGUGAAAAUCCAGGGCUCAACCCUGGACCUGCAGUGGGUACGGGCAGACUAGAGUGCGGUAGGGGAGAUCGGAAUUCCUGGUGUAGCGGUGAAAUGCGCAGAUAUCAGGAGGAACACCGGUGGCGAAGGCGGAUCUCUGGGCCGUAACUGACGCUGAGGAGCGAAAGCAUGGGGAGCGAACAGG
rnacentral:rRNA from 1 species